CACUAAGAAGCUUACAGGGAGCAAGCGACAGCCUUUUAAGCUGUAGAUUGGUGACCCCCGACCACCCUUAGUGA
rnacentral:tRNA from 1 species